UUCUAUCCUGGGGAAAAUCUUAGAGAAGUUUAUUAAAGAGGCCAUCCUUAAUGGACUGGCCAACGCCAACAUCUUAAGGGAUAGCCAG